rnacentral:lncRNA from 1 species
AGGAACUCUGAAAUCGCAGCGAAAAGAGCGUGGGAUCAACAGGAGAGAAACGUCGAGCGAUUAUUCCAGGAAUAACCUGAGGUGGUUAUCGGUGGUUGUUGGAGGUGGUAGGCGGUGGUCGGAGGUGGACGAAGAGGAGGACGAGGAAGACUAGGAGAACAAGGUGGACAAGGAAGACAAGGAUUUGUGCUCGGAAAGUCCGUCAAUGGAACGGUCUGCUGACUCCGAAGGAUCUCUACUGGAUGUGGAUGAAACUUUGGAAAGAAGUAAGGAGGUUCUAGGAUCACCAUUCUACGAAGAAAAACUGCGUCAGCUGUCAACUGGCCAAUUAACAGAGCUUCUCGGUGAAAUGGAAUCCUUGGUCGGAGCGCUCAGCGAAACUUUAAUAGCUGAAUAUUAUUAUUAUUAAUAUUAGCUUACUUUUUUCUGUGCCCCACCU